UACUAGAGUAGCACUCGCAUAUCAAUAAGCGGAGGAAAAGAAACUAACAAGGAUUCCCCUAGUAACGGCGAGUGAAGCGGGAAGAGCUCAAAUUUGAAAUCUUAAAGGGUUUCCCUUUACGAAUUGUAGUUUAAAGAAGUGUUUUCUGUUGAGGUUUUGGUAAAAGUUCUUUGGAAUAGGACAUCAUAGAGGGUGAGAAUCCCGUAUUUGACCUUUACUUUCAACUUUGUGAUACACCUUCAAAGAGUCGGAUUGUUUGGGAAUGCAGUCCAAAAUGGGUGGUAAAUUUCAUCUAAAGCUAAAUAUUGGCGAGAGACCGAUAGCGAACAAGUACCGUAAGGGAAAGAUGAAAAGAACUUUGAAAAGAGAGUUAAACAGUACGUGAAAUUGUCAAAAGGGAAGCGUUUGACACCAGUGUUGUUUUUCUGAAAAUCAAUUAAAGAACUGUUUAUGCUAAGCUUGUUUAGACUUUAUCAGCUAUCUGCUUAGUUUUGAGCUUUUCUUUAAUGCACUUUUCAGUUAACAAGUCAACAUCAAUUUCUUUUGCUGUAAAAAAGCUUGAGGAAGGUGGCUUGAGAUUCGUCUUAAGUGUUUAUAGCCUCUUGCCUAUGCAGUCGGAGAGAUUGAGGUCUGCAGCGUAGAUCCUUCGGGGCUAAAUGCAUUUGUGCUAAGUUAUAGCAUUUUAUAGACAACUUGUUGACUAUGAUUUGUCUUGUAGCUUACUCGCUUAUGUUAUUUUACCUACGCUUAGGAUGUUGAACUACUGAGACAUAGA
rnacentral:rRNA from 1 species